UGGUUAUGUGAAGUGCACUCUCCCUUUGCCUCCUGCCAUGAUUGUAAGGUUCCUGAGGCAUCCCCAGAAGCCAAGCUGAUGCUGCCAUGCUUCCUGUACAACCUGUGGAACUACCUGUCCUAACACUGAAGGAUCAUAAAAAAUUUGCUUUCACCAAGAAGUUCAGAAACUUUAACAUGGCUGAUGUGAUAAAGUGUUGGGUCUUUCUCUGAAGCUCAAGAAGGAAGGAGAAUUUGAGGAAGGCUGAACUCAGAGAAGAGAGGUGAUAAAAUAGAGAGAAAGGUCUCUGGAGAGAUCAGCUACACCGUAGCCAGCUGGGACCUGUGGAGGACGAAGAUCAUUAUGAUAUUCCCUGCAGCAGGAAGCAGCAAAUGAACUGUCAGGCCAGUGAGGUCUGACACCCAAUUAUAAGUUGUCAAAUAUAUACACAGCGUCUUUCCAUCAUACCUACAUUUGUUAACGUUAUUUUUAUUUACCUUCUGUUUUGUGUCCAGCACUGAUAUUGUGCUAAAUCCUUCAGACAAAGUUUGGUGCUUUCAUGACCUGACUAUGUGUUUGCAGUAAGUGUUUGGAGAAAUGAGGGAGAUGAGAGAAGAAGUGCUGUGUAUGUUCACAUUUUGGGGCACAGCAGUCCCCAGAUCAGCUGGGGAAGCAAGGUGAGCUAGUGACAAGUUGGCCAGAAAGUAUAGAUGAGCAGCAAGAAACAGGAGUGGAGAGAGACAGGGUGAACCG
rnacentral:lncRNA from 1 species